AUAACUAGGCAUCCGGGACAAAUCCCAGAGGGAAAGCCAGCAAUGGCUACCGGACUUCCUGACC
rnacentral:ncRNA from 1 species